UUCGGGGUGAUUGCUUUGUGACUGAGUGGCGGACGGGUGAGUAACGCGUGGGUAACCUGCCUCAUACAGGGGGAUAACAGCUGGAAACGGCUGCUAAUACCGCAUAAGCGCACAGUACCGCAUGAUACAGUGUGAAAAACUCCGGUGGUAUGAGAUGGACCCGCGUCUGAUUAGCUAGUUGGUGAGGUAACGGCCCACCAAGGCAACGAUCAGUAGCCGGCCUGAGAGGGUGAACGGCCACAUUGGGACUGAGACACGGUCCAAACUCC
rnacentral:rRNA from 1 species